ensembl:lncRNA
GCUUAAGCAGGAGUCCCUGGUAGAAAGACUGAAAAAUCCCCUCCCCGCUCGAUGGUGGAUUCAUAUCCUGUGCGGCCUCUAGGAAGCGCUAGACACAUCUAUCUUGGGAGGCAUACAUUUUUACCUAGACUUUUCGUGGAAGGAAAUGGUCCCAGAAAGUUCAUGCGUCUUGCUUGGGGUAUACAGACAGCUGGAAAGUGAGCUCAGGCUUGCUUCAGAAAGUCACACAUCUUCCCAUGUCACCUGACAAUACAAGGGACUUCAAGGACAUACAGAAGAACAGAGUCCUUGGUCUCUGAAUGACCCUGUGGAAGGAUACUCACUGGCCAGAAGUAGUCCUUCCAGACUUUGAAUGACAAAUCAACUUCAUUGUGCUGGUCCACUGGGAUUUUGGAGUAAAGAUGGCAAUAUCUUCUAAUUCCACUUGGUGUUUAGGAUGCCCUUCAUAAGAAGAAACCCUGGGUCAAAGUUGAGGCUUAUGUUCUGGCUUUCCCAGCUUGAAAAGAAAGAAACUUGUAUACUGUCACCUUCCUAUUGAGGGUGCAAACUUCAUGAGUUGUGAUCCUAUCACCUGGCCCUUGAAAGAAGUCCUCUGGAAGAGCUGAGGCACAGAGAUGAUUUCCAGUGAAGCACUCAGGAAGCUGAGACAGAAGGAUAGCUACAAGUUUGAGGCCUGCCUGGUAUACACAGUGAAUGCAGUGUCUCCAAACAAACAGCUCAAAGUCGUUCAUGGAGAUGUUAUUGGAUUGCGCUGGGGACCGCAGUUCCUUGAUAAUGAGUAAUUGUUUGCUCAAGCUUUAGCCAAGUGUAAAUAUAAAUAUAACCGGGAUGGUUUACCCGUCCAUUGCCAUCCAUGCACUACUGUACCGAGUGCUGUGGCUGACGUGAGAACUGAAUGCAUGGAGCUGCAAUGGUGGACUCCAGGCCUGCUUCGUCAUCGUCAGAUAUGUCAUUUAACAGCUGAGCCUCGCUUUCCUCACAUGAAAAAUGAUUGCGAUGAUUGAUAUUUACCUCAGAGAAUUUAAAUGGGACUGCCACCGUACCUAUGGGAAAGUCACUGCUGAACUGGUGACAUUUCUGUAUAUAUGUUGAGCACAGGGUCGGUCCCUGGAACAGAGCCGUUGCAUUGCAGUUGAACUUCUAGUAGCCAAGGCAAACCUCUGGACCCUCUGUGGUAGCACCAGGAUCCACCAACAGGCAACACAAGCUGAGGCCCGGAGGCUUCUGUGGGACCAUGUAUGAUUCCACUUCAUCUCCUGCAACCCUGUUGCUCUCCAAUAUGGCAAGAGGAGCAUUGGGUCUUCCUCCUUUGUUAAGACAUUUAUACCAGUUGAGCAAGAAGUCGGUGCUAGAGCGGCAGCAGCCGGUUUGGAGCGCAGUCUCUUCCUCAUGGAACCCUGGCCGGAUCACUGGUCUUCACCACCACUGUAAACUUCUAAAUUCCCUCUUGUUAAACAAAUUAGAGUGGGUUCAAGGUUAUAUUUUGAUAUUAAUAGUUUUACCCUCAUCGCCCCGUGAUCAAAGAGAAAAGGGUAAGGGGACAACUAUCAGCUGGAACUGUAGUACACUUUCCUUCUCUUACAGACCUAGUGCUUCCAAUGCGCCCUGGCUGUCUCUCCACACUCUCAAGGUCUUCUUCACUCAUCUUCUUGGCUGUGUGGAUCUGAAAACACACAGCGUUUGUCCGUAAUCUCAUCCUCAUCCACACUGACUGUGGAUAACCGGAUGUGUUUUGUGAGGCCCCUCAGUCUCAACAUGGUUUUACAGACUCGGUCCUAAGCAGGUAUCACAUUCUUACUGACCCACAGCUGCUGUGCUACUUAGGUUUGUGUCUGUUGGAAUUCCAGGGCAAAUAUUUAUAAUUAUAUCAGCUCAGAGAGUACUUCUUCUGCAUACUUCUGAGUUCAGAACCUCAGACUUUUUUCUUAAAGCUACUCAGCGUCUCACUCAGCCAGAGGAGAA